rnacentral:rRNA from 1 species
ACCAGACUCCUACGGGAGGCAGCAGUGGGGGAUAUUGCACAAUGGGGGAAACCCUGAUGCAGCGACGCCGCGUGAGCGAUGAAGUAUUUCGGUAUGUAAAGCUCUAUCAGCAGGGAAGAAAAUGACGGUACCUGACUAAGAAGCCCCGGCUAACUACGUGCCAGCAGCCGCGGUAAUACGUAGGGGGCAAGCGUUAUCCGGAUUUACUGGGUGUAAAGGGAGCGUAGACGGCGGCGCAAGCCAGAUGUGAAAGCCCGGGGCUCAACCCCGGGACUGCUCUGGAAACUGCGGCGCUGGAGUACGGGAGGGGCAGGCGGAAUUCCUGGUGUAGCGGUGAAAUGCGUAGAUAUCAGGAGGAACACCGGCGGCGAAGGCGGCCUGCUGGACCGUGACUGACGUUGAGGCUCGAGAGCGUGGGGAGCAAACAGGAUUAGAUACCCCAGUAAA